CUCUCCUUGACAAUACCAUGCAAAUUACAUGGUGCAAGGACUGUGAAAAGAUAUUCUCCUAUCGUUCUAUGCUGGGAGAGGGGGUGGGAUAGCAUACGCAUGGCUGCGACGGAUCAGGCCAUUAGAAACCGGUGCUGUUGUCAGUUCCAGUUACCACCCUCCAAACAAAAGGACUCAAGCAGGGAAUUCGGUGACUGUCAAAACCUACAGGGAUUGAUUAUGAACACGGGACUUGUGACUCGUGCUGCGUUUGACAGCAGACCUCCAUUCAUUUGCCGCCGGUACUUCAAGCAACUGCUGCACCACCAGACCUUUCUCUUCCGUCGCUUCAGAUCUGAACGCCAGCUGCAAGUGACCGCCAGUUGUGCCUGGUUCGCCGUUCAAUGCGCUCCGAGGGGAUAGGCGAG
rnacentral:lncRNA from 1 species